UGGGGAAUAUUGGACAAUGGGCGAAAGCCUGAUCCAGCAAUGCCGCGUGAGUGAUGAAGGCCUUAGGGUUGUAAAGCUCUUUUACCCGGGAUGAUAAUUGACAGUACCGGGAGAAGUAAGCUCCGGCUAACUCCGUGCCAGCAGCCGCGGUAAUACGGAGGGAGCUAGCGUUGUUCGGAAUUACUGGGCGUAAAGACGCAGCGUAAGGCGGUUACUCAAGUCAGAGGUGAAAGCCCGGGGCUCAACCCCGGAACUGCCUUUGAAACUAGGUAACUAGAAUCUUGGAGAGGUCAGUGGAAUUCCGAGUGUAGAGGUGAAAUUCGUAGAUAUUCGGAAGAACACCAGUGGCGAAGGCGACUGACUGGACAAGUAUUGACGCUGAGGUGCGAAAGCGUGGGGAGCAAACA
rnacentral:rRNA from 1 species